AACGAACGCUGGCGGCAUGCCUAACACAUGCAAGUCGAACGAGAUCUUCGGGUCUAGUGGCGCACGGGUGCGUAACGCGUGGGAAUCUGCCCUUCGGUUCGGAAUAACAGUUGGAAACGACUGCUAAUACCGGAUGAUGACGAAAGUCCAAAGAUUUAUCGCCAGAGGAUGAGCCCGCGUAGGAUUAGCUAGUUGGUGUGGUAAAGGCGCACCAAGGCGACGAUCCUUAGCUGUUCUGAGGGGAUGAUCAGCCACACUGGGACUGAGACACGGCCCAUACUCCUACGGGAGGCAGCAGUGGGGAAUAUUGGACAAUGGGCGAAAGCCUGAUCCAACAAUGCCGAGUGAGUGAUGAAGGCCUUAGGGUUGUAAAGCUAUUUUACCCGGGAUGAUAAUGACAGUACCGGGAGAAUAAGCUCCGGCUAACUCCGUGCCAGCAGCCGCCGUAAGAC
rnacentral:rRNA from 1 species